UACGGAGGAUGCGAGCGUUGUCCGGAUUUAUUGGGUUUAAAGGGUGCGUAGGUGGAUCGAUAAGUCAGUGGUGAAAGCCCCGAGCUCAACUUGGGAAUUGCCAUUGAUACUGUUGAUCUUGAGUGCGGUUGAGGUAGACGGAAUAUGUCAUGUAGCGGUGAAAUGCUUAGAUAUGACAUAGAACACCAAUUGCGAAGGCAGUUUACCAAGCCGAUACUGACACUGAUGCACGAAAGCGUGGGGAUCAAACAGG
rnacentral:rRNA from 1 species